UACGGGGGGUGCGAGCGUUGUCCGGAAUCACUGGGCGUAAAGGGCGCGUAGGUGGUUUGAUAAGGGUGUGGUGAAAGUCCGGGGCUCAACCCCGGAUCUGCCGUGCCGACUGUCAAACUCGAGGGCUGUAGAGGCAGACGGAAUUCCGGGUGUAGCGGUGGAAUGCGUAGAGAUCCGGAGGAACACCAGCGGCGAAGGCGGCGCUCUGGGCCGGUACUGACGCUGAGGAGCGAAAGCGUGGGUAGCAAACAGG
rnacentral:rRNA from 1 species